CAGCCGCCGCGGUAAAACGGAGGGUGCAAGCGUUAUCCGGAUUUAUUGGGUUUAAAGGGUCCGUAGGCGGACUUAUAAGUCAGUGGUGAAAGCCUGUCGCUUAACGAUAGAACUGCCAUUGAUACUGUAAGUCUUGAGUAUAUUUGAGGUAGCUGGAAUAAGUAGUGUAGCGGUGAAAUGCAUAGAUAUUACUUAGAACACCAAUUGCGAAGGCAGGUUACCAAGAUAUAACUGACGCUGAGGGACGAAAGCGUGGGUAGCGAACAGGAUUAGAUACCCCAGUAGUCCCUGUCUCUUAUAC
rnacentral:rRNA from 1 species